GGUGUUAUGUGCAAUUUCAUAAGAGUGAAAAUAUUGUUGAGUAAAUAUUUAGCUUAAAACUCAAAGGUAGGGCUUCCCUGGUGGUGCAGUGGUUAAGAAUCCACCUGCCAAUGCAGGGGACAUGGGUUCGAGCCCUGGUCUGGGAAGAUCCCACAUGCCACAGAGCAACUAAACCCGUGCACCACAACUACUAAGCCUGUGCUCUAGAGCCCGCGAGCCACAACUGCUGAGCCCACAUGCCACAACUACUCGAGCCUAUGCCCUGCAACAAGAGAAGCCACCACAAUGAGAAGCCCGAGCGCAGCAACGAAGACCCAAUGCAACCAAAAAUAAACAAACAAACAAAACAAAUAAAUAAAUUUAUAUUUUAAAAACUCAAAGGUCUGUGAAGCAAAAUGAUAAAUUGACAGUCUGGAAGGUUCACAUGGAUGAAAACCUGGUCAACAGCUACACAGUUAUAAAUGAGGGAUCUAAGGGAAGGCCCAAAGUGAAGGCCGUAUGCCAUUUGGAAUCUCACACAGUUUUCAUGUGAGCAUGGAAGUUAUGUCAAGGAGAAGCAACCGAGGCCUGGAGAGGAGAAGAGAAGUGACCUGCUCAAAGCCACACAGCUUUGAAAAUAAUUAGGUAAGACAUCAUCAAGCUCACAAAUGUACAAAUAGUUGC